CCCCCCGUGGCCCCCAAACAAUUGCGGGGCCCCAGGCAGUUGCCUGGUAUGCCUAAUGGGAUGCGGCGCCUCUGCCCAUAAGGACGUCCCUGCCAGUGACUCCAAACCAGUAUUUAAUUGUAGAAGCAAACCCUAAGAAUAAGACACACCACGUUUCAUGGUAUUUGAGUGCUUACUCUAUUUUAUAUCAAUAUUAAUAUGCAGGAAUUAUCAUAUUUCUUUCAAUAGCUUCCAUGUCAUGUGACCCAGUGACUCCAAACCAGUAUCCAAUUGACCCUUCGCUAAGCCACGCCCAAAAACCGCCCUAGGCCAAUCGUAGUUUAGCAACGGUAACUAAGCGCGGAGGACCUGACAAACUUUUGUGCUAAGUGAAGAUGCCGAAGCACUGUGCCUAUGGGUUGUGCAAAACGGACAGCCGAUACCCAAAGAGUUUGGAGGGUGGUGUUGUUUUUUUUCCAUUCCCGAAACCCAAAACUCAAUACGAGAAAUGCCGUGAGUGGAUCAAAAAGUGUGGGAGGCCCCAAUCACAGAUGAAUGUCUCGACGAUAACCAAGAACACUUACAUUUGCUCCAAGCAUUUUGUUAAUGGACAGCCGACACACGACUUCCCCAAUCCCAUUGCUGCUCUGCCGGGGUCAAUUCGUACGCGGGAGCAUCAGGGGGGUUGCCGGAGGUCUCCACGGAAAAGAAUCAGGUGUGACCAGCCGGAAACGAACACCUCAUUCUCCACCGAGGACACAUCACUACAGUGUGACUUGACCAACAACAGCGAAGAUCUCGACAACCAAGAGGAACCGAGUCUGCAACCAAGCCGUGAAGCCAACCAAGAGGAAUUGAGAACUCUUCAGGAUGCAUUAACUGCACAAAAGCAGGAGAUAAUUAGUCUGAGGGUUAAGCUUGAGGCAAAGGACAGGGAACUCCACCUUCAGAAGUGCACAGACUUAAACCCUGAGAUAUUGAACAUAAGCCAUGUGCCUGAUUAUUUCAAAUACUGCACAGGUUUUACCUAUGACCAGUUUAAUGUCUUGUGUAAUUUGUUUUCCAUUCCAACUGACCCAGAUGCACCACAAACACACAUUCCACUGACAUAUAAAAAGAUUGAUAAUGAGAUCUUAAAACUUACGCUGCGCAGUCAAUUGUUACUGACACUGAUGAAAUUUAGACAAAAUUGGGACCACAAAGAUUUGGCAUUCCGCUUCAAGAUUCGUUUACAAAGUGUCAGCACUUUGAUAAACUCCUGGGUGGACUAUAUGUUUGAAAUUCUAGGGAAAUUGUCUGUUUGGCCACACAGGGACGUUAUUUCAGAGAAUAUGCCAGCUAAAUUUACAGAACUUAAAAUUGAGAAACCUAGUUCACUAGUGUUGCAGAGUCAGACUUACUCCACCUAAAAGUCUACAAACACCCGUAAGUCUCUGGUGGCAUGUGAUCCACGAGGUGCCCUCAUUUAUGUGUCUGCCCUCUUCACUGGAUCCAUUUCAGACAAGGAAAUAUUCAAUAGGAGCAACAUCAUUGAUGUUUUGAAGGGGUGUGUUCAGUGUGGCUACCUAAAUGUAGGAGAUGGAUUGAUGGUUGAUAAGAGUUUCCUAAUAGAGAAAGAAGUUGAGGAGAUUGGCUUGAAACUUAACAUUCCACCUUUUGCAAGAGCAAACAGACAGAUGCCACAUGCAGAUGUUGAUCUGACAAAAAAAAUAGCCAAGCACAGGGUCCAUGUUGAAAGAGCUAUUGCGAAGAUACAUUUUUUUAAAAUUGUGUCAGGCAGAAUCCCCAUUUCUCGGCUUGGGAACAUAAAUCAAAUAUGGUAUGUUGUCAGUAUGUUGUCUAACUUUCAGCCACACAUCAUCAAAUAUUAAGGUUUGUGUGGAGAACAGCUAGGGGGUC
ensembl:lncRNA